UAUUUUUUAUAUUGUUAAUUAUAAUAAUUAAAAUGUAUUAUGCAAUAUUUCAAUUUUCCAUAGGAUUUCGAUUAUCGAAAUAAUAUCGAUAAGAUCGAUAUAAUCGACUUCCGUCACCAGCCAAUGAGAGAGCUUCUUGGCGAAUUUUGGCGCGCAGCGUCAGUCUUCUGUGGAAAGUGAACAAGUGAGGACGUGUGACCGCUGCCGGCUUGAAAAUUUCUACUGCGCAAUUAUUACCUGAUUACUGGGCCGACAUAUUGGUCGGGAAGGCGGGAAAAAUUCCAACAUGGAUACCAUUGUACUUUUUCAAAGGGAAGUUCGAUUUUUCGCUCGUGUAUUAGAAUUUUUGUGAUCGCGCGCAAUGCGAUCGGUAGAUUCAGUGUUUGCUUCGUAAUAGUUUUCUAGUAUUUAGAGCACAAUAGCUCUAAUUAAAUUACCAUGAUCAUUCGCGAAACUAGAGUCAGUGCUUGUUCGCCGGUUCUAUUUGAAAUCGACGCGUUAGUAGUUUCUUAUUUUUAUUUUUUUAUUUUUUUUGAAUAUUCGUUUUCGGUACAGGUUAGAGUCAGUGUUCCCUGAGGAAUAAGGCGGUCAUCCAUCACGCGAAGAGGUAAUUGUUUUUAUAUAUUUUCUAUUCGCUUCAACUUUUUCAAAUAAUCAGAAUUGUAAUGAUAGCGUUUCAUGUUUGGUUACAGUUUUCCCUUCCUCGUGAUGACUAUUUGGUGUG